rnacentral:rRNA from 1 species
CCUACGGGAGGCAGCAGUGGGGAAUUUUGGACAAUGGGCGAAAGCCUGAUCCAGCCAUGCCGCGUGUGUGAAGAAGGUCUUCGGAUUGUAAAGCACUUUAAGUUGGGAGGAAGGGUUGUAACCUAAUACGUUGCAAUUUUGACGUUACCGACAGAAUAAGCACCGGCUAACUACGUG